CACACAAGGAAAGUGGAAUUCUAUUAGUUAACAUGAUCUAUGAGGACUGGAAGGAUCCAGAGGAGACUGCGGUGGUAAUGCAGACUCCACUCUUCCUAUCACCCCUGUGCAGCCGACCUUCACCUCAGGAAGAGAUCAUUUGUGUGCUUUUACUGCUGUGCAUGGUUCAUGGGGAAGCAGGGCAUUAUGCAGGGUUCUUGGUUUUCACUGAUCCACUGAUUCAUAAAAAGUCUGGCCCUACGCUCCAUUUCUCAAUCAUUUUUUCCAAAUCGAAUCUACAGGCACUCCCAAGCCUCAAAAUGUGAGCUGCACUCAUCAUGCCCUCAUGAACUGAGACAGGUGAUAAUGCAGGAAAGACCUUGCAGUUCAACUGUCUGUUAAAUCUCUUUCUCUUCUGAGGACUCUGAAACUGCAUUAGGGGACAAGUAGUACACACAGUAGAAUCUUUGACACAAAUAGACACUCUUAUUCAACACCUGCAAAGGCCUUUUUCACACAUUUUCAGCCCCCAUGAAAUAAUCCUUGAGGAUGUGUUAAUCAUUUCUGUUUCGACUCAGCCAUUAAAGUACUAUUCUUAUGUAUACAUACCCUAAAUAUGUUGCUCCCUCUCUUUCUCCUCCAACU
rnacentral:lncRNA from 1 species